rnacentral:rRNA from 1 species
GACGUAGGGGGCCAGCGUUGUUCGGAAUUACUGGGUGUAAAGGGUUCGUAGGCGGUGUGGCAAGUUGGGAGUGAAAUCUCUGGGCUCAACCCAGAGGCUGCUUCCAAAACUGCUGUGCUUGAGUUUGGGAGAGGGACGCGGAAUUCCAGGUGUAGCGGUGAAAUGCGUAGAUAUCUGGAGGAACACCGGUGGCGAAGGCGGCGUCCUGGACCAACACUGACACUGAGGAGCGAAAGCCAGGGGAGCAAACGGG